ensembl:lncRNA
GAACUCGUGGCAUCAAGUGGGUAGAGACAAGGGGUGCUGUUGAACAUCCUGCAAUGCACAAGACAGUCCUUCCAUCCCUACUGAAGAGUUAUUGAGCCUCCAAAUGCCAAGAGUGCUGAGGUUGAGAAACUUUGCUCUAGGAAGGCUGGAAAAUAUUCUGCUCAUUUCAUAGGAAGACAAGAGAAUAUGGGUGAGUAAGGAGAAUAGAGGCAGUAGCUGAUUAUGAAGGAAAGCAUCAUUUCCUUGGUGGAGCCCUGGAUGUUUUGGGGACAUCAUGUCUCACAUGGUGACACCUAAAGGAAAGGCAGGACCACAAUAAAGAAGGCUAUGCAUUGUGUUCAGGAAAGUCUGGUCUGAGCUUGGCAUAAUGAUGCUUCCAUAUGUUAGGGAAGUUACACGAUGAUUCUCUAUCUCAGGGCACAGACAGGUAGAGAGAGGUAACUGGAGUGAAAAUACUAAGCAAAGGACAGAAAGGGGACACCUUGUGCAGAGUCUGAUGAAGAACCAGAGACAGAGGGCAGGGAAUUCCUUUGGGUUGGGAUUUACAACAAAGCUGUGGCUUAAAGUGGAUACAGAAAGCUAAGCCCUGGAAGAGAACAAACUCUUGUUAGUCUAAAGAGGGUGUUGUCCAGCACCAGAGGAAAAUGUUUCCUAGGAAGCCAAUUAAAUUUAGGAAACCAUUUUGCAUAAGGAAAACUUUUCAUAGAAAUAAACUUAAAAUAAUACCAUUUCAGAUAAUUAUGGGACUUCACUGUGAAUGCAAAACAUUAAAAUUUCUAAAGCUAGAGAGAAGGAUCAAGACAGCAGAGGAGUAAGACAUCACACUCACCUUCUCCCACAAACACAUCAAAAAAACACAUCUACAUGUAAAACAGUUAGCACAGAACAUCUACUGAAUGCUGGCAGAAGCACUUAAACCUCCAAAAAGGGCAAUAAACUCUCCACAUAAUUGGAUAGAACAAAAGAAAAAAAGAGAAAGAGAGAGAGAAAAGGAAUCAGGACCAGAUUGGCAAUUCUAAGAGGGAGCUAUGAAAGAGGAAAGGAACCCACACCCAGGGAAGCCACCUAGAGAUCAGCCAAGACAGAGGGACCUCAAAGUCACUGAGAAAAGCGCAGCAGCUUGACUGAAGAGGGCAAAGCAGCAUGAGAGCCACACAGACCAUCUGCAUCACUAUCCCAGACACCAAAGCCUGAGAUGCUUGGGUGAGCACUAGGUGCAGAGACUAGGUGUCUAGAGUUCAGUUCCAAGGAGAGGACUAGGGUUGGUUGUGUGUAGGCAGCCUGAGGGGCUAGGGAACUGUAUUCCAUGGGCAGGGGAGCAGAACGCCACAUCUGAUGGAACCCGGGACAAAGUCUGGGCCCACAGGAGAAGCAUGGUGCCAUUGCUGGGAAGGGUUAAGGGCAGCAUGGCACUAAGCAAGAUGCAGAGUCACCUAAGAGGCUGGCAAAAAAAGAGGGCAGAGCACCACCCAUUGAUGCUCUCACUCAUCUGGGAACAUACCUGCUCUGCUGCUGCCACUACCAAACACUCAGGGCAGCACCCACACAUGCCUGAUCACUGUCACUUUCCUACCCUCCAACUAGGAGCAGCCUGUGCAGCACCUCCUGCAUGAGCUAAGUGGGUCAGUGUGCUUAUUGUGUGGUCUACAGGUGUCAACAGCAAAUCACUGCAGUUAAUUCUGACUCCAGAGUUGGGAGCGUCCCACCACCACUAGAGAUCCAUGAGCAGUCAACACUUGAGGCCCCAAUCACCUCAUAGGGCACCAGAGAGGAGGGCAUUGUGACAGAACACCACCAUUUGUUGCUCUUAUACCCAUGGGAAAUUACACACCCUGCCACUACCACUGCCAACUACUCUAGGCACUGCCUAAAUCUACCUGAGUUUCACUACCACUUCCCAGGGCCCUGCAAUGAGGAGUAGCCUGUGUCAACUUCCUGCAGGUUCUUGCUACUGUCAAGAGGCCAGCAACCAGGCACUGACUACUACCCUGCCCAUUGCCUCCUUCUCCCUGGAUACACACUCAGCACCCUAGUAAGGGGAUAACAGCUGUUCACACUGAAAAGAAACAGCAAACAUCCAAACUCCCAUUCCAAAAAUAAACAGUUACCACCACAUACAAAAUGCAAAGGGACACUCUUGCAUAGAAAUAGCCCUGAAAGACUACGGUACUUGGUUUCCCUAAACUCACAGAAAAAGAAAAAUAUAAGUGAAAUGAAGAAGGUCAAGAACCAGUCCUAAUUAAAAGAACAGGAGAAUUCACCUGAAGCAGCAAAAAAUGAAAUUGACCUCUCCAGUCUAAUGGACACUGAGUUCACAAAGGAGAUAGUGAAAAUACUGAAGGAAUUUAGGGCGAAUAUGAAGGGAUUAAGAGUGGAUAUAGGAGUUUCCAUCAUGGCACAGUGGAAAUGAAUCUGACUAGUAACCAUGGGGUUGCAGGCUUGAUCCCUGGCCUUGCUCAGUGGGUUAAGGAUCUGGCAUUGCUGUGAGCUAUGGUGUAGGUCACAGAUGUGGCUUGGAUGUGGCGUUGCUGUGGCUCUGGCAUAGGCCAGCAGCUGAAGCUCCAAUUCAACUCCUAGCCUGGGAACCUCCAUAUGUCAUGUGUGUGGCCCUAAAG